UACGUAGGGCGCAAGCGUUGUCCGGAAUUAUUGGGCGUAAAGAGCUCGUAGGCGGCUUGUCACGUCGGGUGUGAAAGCCCGGGGCUUAACCCCGGGUCUGCAUUCGAUACGGGCAGGCUAGAGUGUGGUAGGGGAGAUCGGAAUUCCUGGUGUAGCGGUGAAAUGCGCAGAUAUCAGGAGGAACACCAGUGGCGAAGGCGGUGGUCUGGGCCGAUACUGACGCUGUAGAGCGAAAGCGUGGGGAGCGAACAGG
rnacentral:rRNA from 1 species